rnacentral:rRNA from 1 species
UGGGGAAUAUUGGACAAUGGGCGCAAGCCUGAUCCAGCCAUGCCGCGUGAGUGAUGAAGGCCCUAGGGUUGUAAAGCUCUUUCACCGGUGAAGAUAAUGACGGUAACCGGAGAAGAAGCCCCGGCUAACUUCGUGCCAGCAGCCGCGGUAAUACGAAGGGGGCUAGCGUUGUUCGGAUUUACUGGGCGUAAAGCGCACGUAGGCGGACUUUUAAGUCAGGGGUGAAAUCCCGGGGCUCAACCCCGGAACUGCCUUUGAUACUGGAAGUCUUGAGUAUGGUAGAGGUGAGUGGAAUUCCGAGGGUAGAGGUGAAAUUCGUAGAUAUGCGGAGGAACACCAGUGGCGAAGGCGGCUAACUGGACCAUUACUGACGCUGAGGUGCGAAAGCGUGGGGAGCAAACAGG